rnacentral:piRNA from 1 species
CUGGUUCCCACAUGAGUACAUAUUGGCC